GGAAACAGGGAAUAUGCACUCAUUUAUCUUAGAGACGUCACAUGGAUGAACAAAACUUAACUAGGCCAGCAAGCAUGAAUAUUCUCUAGUUUGGUCCUUACAUCUUGUCCAGAGUCUGGUUCAGACCAGACAAAGUAGUGACAUUAGUAAGAUUUGUAUCAGGGGCCAUUGCCAGUCUAAUACCAACUGCAACCUAAUAACCCUCCAACAUGUACUGGUUGGAAUGUGAUUAUUUUAUCACUUUGAUUUUUGUAGUGAUAUUAAUUGGCUAAUACGUUAUCAAUUCCUGCUAAAAUAUUUUAAUGUUUUUAAGUAAUUCUGAAAGACUGGAAAUUGCAUAGGAAGACAAAAAUCCUCUCUAUCUCCUGAAGUGUUUAUCGAAGAUAUGAUAUCAUGACCAGGGUUUGGGAAGAACAGAUUGACAGAAUAUUGGUAAUUCUUGAAGCUCCUGCCGCCCUACCUGGUGGAAUCAAUUGUCCCGUCCGGGAGCCUUGGCAAUGGUCUCUGUGCAGAGGAAAUACGAAUCACCAAUGAGAAUUUUUCUUGUCAGAGAAUCUAAGAAGUUGGUCAUACAUAUCCUCAACCUCCAGCCCGCAUAUUGGACCAGUCAUGUGACAGGAAGUCUGUAAGACAGAAUAUUUAUCAAUCUUCUUUCAAACAGAUGCAAAAUCUAAUGAAAACAGAAAGAGGGUUACCUAUUUUUUAUGUUUACUUAUGAAAAAAUUGUUAGAAUGCUAUGAACUAAAAAGCAUGAUAGUUCUGAUGAAUUAUUACCCUGAUCAUUGUAUUUUCUUGGAAAUGAAACAUGUGUCCUUGUGUAGUUUCCAAUAAAUAUCAAAAGA
rnacentral:lncRNA from 10 species